rnacentral:rRNA from 1 species
AAUGAACGCUGGCGGCGGGCCUAACACAUGCAAGUCGAGCGAGCGGCGGACGGGUGAGUCAUGUAUGGGAAUCUGCCUUAUGGAGGGGGAUAACUACUGGAAACGGUAGCUAAUACCGCAUACCAUCAGAUGAACCCAUAUGGGAUUAGCUUGUAGGUGAGGUAACGGCUCACCUAGGCGACGAUCCCUAGCUGGUCUGAGAGGAUGAUCGGCCACACUGGGACUGAGACACGGCCCAGACUCCUACGGGAGGCAGCAGUGGGGAAUAUUGCGCAAUGGGCGCAAGCCUGAUGCAGCCAUGCCGCGUGUAUGAAGAAGGCCUUCGGGUCGUAAAGUACUGUCAGUAGGGAGGCGUUACCGACAGAAGAAGCCCCGGCUAACUCCGUGCCAGCAGCCGCGGUAAUUC